rnacentral:lncRNA from 1 species
GAUCGUCGAAUUGGAUGUCCUAUCAUCAAAAACAACUUACAAAUACGGAGGCCUCCGUACUUUCGAAAGCACGGAAGACGUACUAUAUAUAUAUAUAUAUAUAUAUAUAUAUAUAUAUAUAUAUAUAUAUAUUUGAUGUUAUAUUUAAAUUUGUAGUUUAAAAUUUUAGAUUUAAUGGAAUAUAUUUUGAAAUAUUGUAAAGAGAAAUAAUUGUUUCGAGUUCAAAUUUUUAGGUUCGGUCUCGGGUUCGGGUUUCGGAUUUUUGGUCGGGUUCGCAUUCGGAUAUGGAUUUUUAAAAUUCGUCGGAUUCGGGUUCGGGUUCGGGUUCCGAUUCGGGUUCCGGUUCGGUAGUCGGGUUCAGGUUCGGGCUUUUAAAAAUCCGCUCCGAAUCCGACCCGUUGACAUCCCUACAUAGGACCCAACCCCAAAUAACCCCAAACCCCUAAAUUGGAAGCACCGACCCCCAACGGGGGUUCGAACUAAGGACCCCGGGAAGGGGGAGGUGCACUCCAACCACCUCACUAGAGGUAGGAGGGCAACAGCAAAAUCUAAUCAUAACUAAAAUAUCUGUANGUUUGCCUAGUGAACAAGUAGCCUCAAAAUGAACGGCUGAAAGUAAAAAUCUCAUAAAAAAUAGUGAUAAAUGACUCAAAUUUCAAAUCGGAAGUAUUGUUUAUGCUCUUGAUGUUAAGUAGAAUUUUCUAUUAAAGUUUCAUGUAAUUUGGAUACUUCUACACCGUUGAACUUAAAAACGUGCCACAUCGGCCGUUAAAAUAGUCAUUUUUGAGACCCUGUGAUCGCUUGGUAAAUGAUGUCGAAAAAUUAAUUUAGUUUCUAGAUAGUUCCAAUAGCAUAGAUUAUGCCUAACGGAGCCGAUCGUCGAAUUGGAUGUCCUAUCAUCAAAAACAACUUACAAAUACGGAGGCCUCCGUACUUUCGAAAGCACGGGAGACGUACUAUAUAUAUAUAUAUAUAUAUAUAUAUAUAUAUAUAUUUGAUGUUAUAUUUAAAUUUGUAGUUUAAAAUUUUAGAUUUAAUGGAAUAUAUUUUGAAAUAUUGUAAAGAGAAAUAAUUGUUUCGAGUUCAAAUUUUUAGGUUCGGUCUCGGGUUCGGGUUUCGGAUUUUUGGUUGGGUUCGCAUUUGGAUAUGGAUUUUUAAAAUCCGUCGGAUUCGGGUUCGGGUUCGGGUUCCGAUUCGGGUUCCGGUUCGGUAGUCGGGUUCAGGUUCCGGUUCGGUAGUCGGGUUCAGGUUCGGGCUUUUAAAAAUCCGCUCCG